UUAAUCAGAAUUCGUACUUAUAGUGGGGUAGACUUGCAGUAAGAUAUAUAAAGAAACAGCACUGCAAGUGGUCAUAAGCCAUUUGAACAAAGCUAUUUAAUAAGAUCAAAUAUUUUUUCCCUCUCAUACAAGAUGAAAUUCUUCGCUAUUUUCUUCAUGGUAGUCCUCGCCCUUUUGGGUCUUCAGGGCACAUACGCCUGCAUUGCCAACCGCAAUGGUUGCCAACCUGACGGCAGUCAAGGAAACUGUUGCUCUGGAUACUGCCACAAGGAACCUGGAUGGGUGGCUGGCUACUGCAGAUAAGUUAUUGUAAUUGUGCUAAUGGACCUGGAAUAUUAUGUUAUAUGUGAUAAAUUUAAACAAUAAAUAAAUAUGUAUGUUAUAUACAUCUGUCUCUUUGA